AUUUUGCUCUUUGGGUCUUUGUGCCAACCAUGCCAGCUAUCGUAGGGUGCUCUGGGAACUUCUUAGAUCUGUUUACUGUAUGUACACUUACUGAAAUAAGCAUUUUGUUUACAUAAAAUCCCUUGUCAUUUCACCACUAGGUUUGAAACCCAGACAGCACGAAGCAUCUUGCCGACGUCAAAAUCAGAUCAACAGACAGGGACAUCAGCCUUCUCUUGGGAAUAGGCCAGAUAUGCCAUAACAAGAAAUGGUGUUUUGCCCCUGCGGUUGUGAAGAGGAUGCUGUGGAGGUGGCAGCAUGAACGUGUCACACAGACAUUGGCUAAACAACUCGGCUUCUACACUUGACAACAAAUGUGCUCUACGAUGACAUUUCCAGCAUGUCCAACUCAUCAGCAUCAGGGGAGAUUCGGUGAAGGUGGUGCACCAUCCAGGACCAGUCAUGGGUCACCAACACCUCUGCAAAAUCUACACUUCUUGUGAACCCU